GUGGGGGAUAUUGCACAAUGGGGGAAACCCUGAUGCAGCGACGCCGCGUGAGUGAAGGAGCGUUUCGGCGCGUAAAGCUCUAUCAGCAGGGAAGACAAACUGCCCCGGAAGGGGCAGCCGGACGGUACCUGACCAAGAAGCCCCGGCUAACUACGUGCCAGCAGCCGCGGUAAUACGUAGGGGGCAAGCGUUAUCCGGAUUUACUGGGUGUAAAGGGAGCGUAGACGGCAAGACAAGCCUGGAGUGAAAGGCGGGGGCCCAACCCCCGGACUGCUCUGGGAACUGUCUGGCUGGAGUGCAGGAGGGGUAAGUGGAAUUCCUAGUGUAGCGGUGAAAUGCGUAGAUAUUAGGAGGAACACCAGUGGCGAAGGCGGCUUACUGGACUGUAACUGACGUUGAGGCUCGAAAGCGUGGGGAGCAAACAGGAUUAGAUACCCUAGUAGUCC
rnacentral:rRNA from 1 species